UACGUAGGGGGCGAGCGUUGUCCGGAAUCAUUGGGCGUAAAGCGCGUGUAGGCGGCCCGGUAAGUCCGCUGUGAAAGUCCAGGGCUCAACCCUGGGAUGCCGGUGGAUACUGUCGGGCUCGAGUCCGGAAGAGGCGAGUGGAAUUCCUGGUGUAGCGGUGAAAUGCGCAGAUAUCAGGAGGAACACCAAUGGCGAAGGCAGCUCGCUGGGACGUUACUGACACUGAGAGACGAAAGCUAGGGGAGCGAAUGGG
rnacentral:rRNA from 1 species